UUCUUUUGUUUUGAAGAUGUUUAUGAUUAAAACUCAAUUUCAGGGUGUUGGACUAUACCUGUAACUUAGAUUCUUCAUGAAUUAUGCGUCUUUAGUUAAGUAUCUUAUACAUGUAAUUUAUGUGCCAUUUACUUAUUUAGUUAGUUGCAGCAAAAACUUAGGAUUGGUUUAGUUUCUUUAUUGUAUACUCUCGUUAUGUUACCUUUGUUUAUUCAAUGGAAGUAAAAACUUGGGCUUGUUUAUGUGCCUUGCUUUUUGUAUUUUUGCAUUUUGGUUAACUUUCAUCCCAUCUCAAUACCAGAAAUAAUCUCCUCUCAUUCUAUCUCACACAGUAAGAAUUUUCUUUGUCAACCAUACCGAAGCUUAUUAGCAAUCACUGUCGUUGCCAGUGACAAAAAAAGACAUGGAGAAUUGCUGGUGUACCAGCUUUUGGCCAACUCAUGUUACAGAGCUGCAAUGAAGGUGAAAAAUUAUGGUUUUUUUUUAAGAAAACCAUCUCUUAGAUCACAGCAUCAACCGCUUUAGAAUUUGAACCCCAGUGUAAUCAAAGGUGGGCUACAGAACAGGGGAUCCCUGUGACAUUGAUUGCCCCUUGCUAAGGUCACAGUCCUUCCACUACUUCAUGCUGGUGGCUUUUGAAGGCGGUAGCAUACUAGCGUUCCUGCUGUUGUUGUCAUCCCCAUUCCUCUGUUUUUUGGAUUACAAGUUAAAAGUUAAGGGUAAUGAUUUUCAUUACAUUUUGUGGGCUGAGAUCAAGGGACAUGGUGAGUGUUGGAAGGGCAGUGUUGCCGAAGUUUUAUCUUGAAAAUCCGAAUCUUCAGGUGUAUGAGAUUUGGUCUGCCUCAGUGUGUAGGGUGGUCUGCACAAGUGUCCCUAGCGUCAUGAUUCAAGGGUUCUUGAAGGAGUAUUUGAGUGUUGAUAAUGUUUUUGGGACACAGCUCCACACUUUCGGUCACUAUUUACUGGUUUGCUAUUUGAUUCUGGCUUGCUUGUGAAGCACAAAGCUCUUAAGGAAUUCUUUGAAGAGAGAAAGCCUGAAAUUGGAAUUUCAAAUCAUCAUGACCAACUCUUUACGACCCUCUUCAAGGUAUACAUUUUUUAUGUUUUAUCAGUCACUUUCUUUAAAUCAUAACUAUAUAUAUAUAUAUAUAUAUAUAGAUAUAUAUAUAUAUAUAUAUAUUUAUCAGUGACACAUUUCAUUGUGUUUUUUUGGCUAAAAAUUCAUUGUGUAAUGAAUUGAUGUUUUACCCCAAAGACAAGCUCAGACACGGCUGACAAUUACUUUUUUGGUCAUGAUAUGUAUGUUACCUUGAAAUUGAAGCUGUGCUUGUUUAUACGGUGUAUAUAAAUUGAAGUUGUGCUUCUUCUAGUUUUAGUCUUCAGUUUUACUACUUUACUCGUCUCCUUCAACCUCUAGUUGCACUGUCUCAUAACCAUUGAUGUCUCAUUUUUACAGAGCAUGCAGUCUUAAUUUUAUUUUCUUGAAGUCUUAAUUUCUCUGUAGAGCUUAUUACAAGGCCAAAAAAUAUACCACACCCAUUUGGAGUUAUUUUUAACAGAAUUUUUAUUUUGUUUUAAAAAAAAAAAUGGAUUGUUUAUUGAAAAUGGAGAUCUAUGAAGUGGGUAUUUUUGUUUAGUGUUGUUUUUUGUGAUUUUGGUCAGUAAAAUGCAUGGGGUUGGUAUAAAGUGGAUUCGGGUUGUGGAGUAAAGUAGAACAACUAAGGGUUUUGUUAUUUGGACUUAAAUCUUUUAAACUUUCUUAAACUUGGAAUAUCAAAGCAAUAAAACAGGAGCAAAUAAAAUGGUGUUUGUAAUAGAUUUGGUGGGUUUUUAAAAAGCUGAGUAGAGCACAUUUUGAAGCUAGGUACAUUGGGUCAUUGUUUAUUGUUCUAUUUCAGCCUUAAGAAUGCAGAUAUGCAGUGCAUGUGUGUGAGAAAAAGUAAAUUUAGGGUUGAAUGAUUUGACGGUUUUUGUUUUGAAGAUGUUUAUGAUUGAAACUCAAUUUCAGGGUGUUGGACUAUGUCUGUUAAAUUAGAUUGUUCAUGAAUUAUGUUUUUUAAUUAAUUAUCCUAUACAUGUAAUUUAUGUGCCAUUUACUUAUUUAGUUACCGGCAAAAAAAACUUAAGAUUGGGUUUAGUUUCUUUAUUGUAUAUUCUCAUUAUGUUACCUUUAUUUAUUCAGUGGAAGUAAAAACUUGGGCUUGUUUAUGUGCGUUGCUUUCUAGUAUUUNNNNNNNNNNNNNNNNNNNNNNNNNNNNNNNNNNNNNNNNNNNNNNNNNNNNNNNNNNNNNNNNNNNNNNNNNNNNNNNNNNNNNNNNNNNNNNNNNNNNNNNNNNNNNNNNNNNNNNNNNNNNNNNNNNNNNNNNNNNNNNNNNNNNNNNNNNNNNNNNNNNNNNNNNNNNNNNNNNNNNNNNNNNNNNNNNNNNNNNNNNNNNNNNNNNNNNNNNNNNNNNNNNNNUAUAUAUAUAUAUAUAUAUAUAUACAAAGAGCCCAACUGGGUAGCCCAUUCAUUGAGAGAAACACUUGAAGAAAUAAGAGUAAAAAAGAAAGAAAAAUCAUGUCUUCCCCAAGCAAACGCAGAGAGAUGGACUUUGAUGAAACAGUUAAUUCUCUAAUUUUUCAUUUUUUUCAAUCUUUCAAUCUAUUAAUUAUAGUUAUUUUUUAUUUUAAUUGUUUAUAUUCUUUUUGUUUUUCUUCUUUUUGGUGGGAUUAGGACAAUGAGUGAUUACAAGGUAGAGAUGAUCAAUGAUGGUAUGUAGGAGUUCUAUGUACAUUUCAUGAUUUCCAUGGCCCUAGUGACGGUAAAUUUUUCACACCCAUGUCUCAAGUUUUAAUCUUUAUGCCUCUAAAUUGAAUUUUUGAGCCUGUUAAUGUUAUUACUUUUGUGGUAUUGAAUAUUCUUGAUUUAGCUAUGUUUGACCUUCUGUACAUCUUAUGGGCAUUCAAUUGCAGCUUUGGAUUGUAUACUUGUUUCACUACUGUGAAAAGAAAGAAAGAAUCUUUUUUGGGGAAAUUCUACUGUCAAUUAAUCUCUCCUUUUGAUAGUGUUUAUAUUAUCUAUUCAAUACCCAUCUUUCAAAUAUAUAAUUUUUUAAGUUUUGUCAUAUUUUCCUGGGAUGUGGGGUCGGGGGAGGAGGGGUGUAUUGUUGCUAGUAGUCCUAUUAGAUGGUCUAUUUGGUAACACUUCGCAUUUUUUGGUACUUUUUCAAAGUCCAAAUCUGGAAUUAAUUUGGGCAAUAAAAAAGAAUAUGCAGGGUUUCCUUUCUGUUCUUGUAUGUAAUGUUCAUGACAGUUGCAGUUUUGCAGCUUAUGUUUUUAUAAAUUUAGCGGUAGACUGGAAAUUACUAUUUUAAUUUCUAAAUUUAUGUUUUUACAAUUGUUUUUCUCAUAAUGAAUGUGUUAGGUCCCUUACCAUGGAGGUGUGUGGAGGAUAAGGGUUGAGCUUCCGAAUACUUAUCUGUAUAAAUCUCCAUCCAUAGGCUUUAUUUAUAAGAUUUAUCACCCAAAUGUGGAGGAAAUGUGAGUAAUUUUCAACAUCUUCAUUAUUUUCCUUGGUGGGAAAUUCAACAUCUUCAUUUCCCUUAAAAGAUUCUUCAAGUCAGACAUUUUGGUGUUCUAUUAAUUUUCAGGUCUGGCUCUGUUUGUUUAGAUGUUACUCCCUCCGUUCCAAAUUAUCUGUUAGUAGAAAANNNNNNNNNNNNNNNNNNNNNNNNNNNNNNNNNNNNNNNNNNNNNNNNNNNNNNNNNNNNNNNNNNNNNNNNNNNNNNNNNNNNNNNNNNNNNNNNNNNNUGAGAAUAAUAAAUAAAAAAUAAUAGAACGAGUUUGAACAAAAAAUUAUAAAAGAAAGUAUAUUUUUUAUUAAAAAAAUACGAUAAUAGUUUACAGUAUUUAUAAGUUUAAGAAAUUAUUAAAUAUUGUUGUAAUAUUAAUAAUAUUAAGAUUUUUAAGUGAUUUAUAACAUUUGGAUUAAGGUGUUAUAAUUAUUGAUAUGAAUUUUAUUGUGAAACUUUACCUUUUUGUGUCGGGGUUACUAUUCACGUAUACGACAUUAUUCACCGAAAAAUGAAAAUUUUCUUUUCGUCCAAGAUGUCUAUAUGGUUACUAUGUUUGAUUGAAUCCAUGUUUUGAUAAUAUAGUUUUUAUUAUCAUAUAUAACAUUUUUAUAAUCAUGGUGAAGAAAUUUCUCUUUGACUUAAGUAUAAAGAUGGGUAGAUUAUUGGUAUGAUUGUGAAUAUGAGUUCUCUUUGGCUCGUAAUGCAAAGAUGACCUGUUGUUGAAUAUCUUUAGCCUGUAGUGCAAAGAUGAAUUAUUGAUGAAUAUCUUUGGCUCGUAAUGCAAAGAUGACUUGUUGUUGAAUAUCUUUAGUGCAAAGAUGAAUUAUUGAUGAAUAUCUUUAGCUCGUAAAGCAAAGAUGACCUGUUGUUGAAUAUUUUUAGCUUGUAGUGCAAAGAUGAAUUAUUGAUGAAUAUCUUUAGCUCGUAAAGCAAAGAUGACCUGUUAUUGAAUAUCUUUAGUCUGUAGUGCAAAGAUAAAUUAUUGGUAAAUAUCUUUGGCUCGUAAUGCAAAGAUGACCUGUUGUUGAAUAUCUUUAGCCUGUAGUGUAAAGAUGAACUGUUGAUGAAUAUCUUUAUCCUGUAGUGCAAAGAUGAAUUAUUGAUGAAUAUCUUUAGCUCGUAAAGCAAAGAUGACCUGUUGUUGAAUAUCUUUAGCCUGUAGUGCAAAGAUGAAUUAUUGAUGAAUAUCUUUGGCUCGUAAUGCAAAAAUGACCUGUUGUUGAAUAUCUUUAGCCUGUGUGUAAAGAUGAACUGUUGAUGAGUAUCUUUGACCCGUAGUGCAACGAUGAAUUUAUUAGUAUGAUUAUGAACAUGAACUGUGAUUUGGUAUAACCAUGAUCUUUGAUGUUUCAUGUAAAGACAUGUGAUAAAAAUUAUAUUCGUCCUGGAUGAGAAGAGUAAUUAGAAUCACAAUUAUAAUUAUGAGUUAUUCUUAUGAUUGUGGAAAGGAACUGUUGAUUGAUGUUACAGGGAUAAAACAUUGUUGGUGGACUUUUAACGUGGAGAAGACAAUAGACUUUAUAGUCUAUUUGACUCUUCUAAUGGAUUGCUCGUUCCGCUGUAACUAUGGUUGAAAAGUUUUAUCAUCUACCAUAUGUUUUAAAUCUCUGAUUUAUUACUGAUGAAUGCUAUUGAUAAUUUAAUUAUCUUUAGUCAUGAUAUUCUUUACUGGGCUAGUUGUGCUCACCCUUUUGUUUCACAAUUCCUUUCAGGUAAUAAGAGUGUAGCUGGGUCGAGCGGGGAUAACAGGGGAAUAGUGUGAUGGUCCGAGACUGUCAAAGUUUCACAAUACAUUAUAAAACAGUUAUUGAUUGUACCUUAUUGUAAUGUACCAAUGUGAGGUGCUGACACAAGUUGGGACAUGAGUCACAGUUGGUAUUUAAACUCACAGUAUACGUGUUGUCGUAUUUCGCACGGCAAUUGUAGUAAUAAAGUUGUAGUUGUUUCUGUACCAUGUUAUUUGGCGACUCAGAAUGGGUCGGAUGGAAUGGACCUAUUUUGGGGGCGUCACAAAUAUCCUUGGCCUGUAGUGCAAGGAUGAAUAUAUGAUUUAAGAUGUGCAUUGAUUGAUGUUACAGGGAUAAAAAUACUGUUGAUGGACUGUUGAAUUCAUAGAUAAUAGUAGAUUUCAUUCUCUACGUAACUCUUUUGUGAAUUAUUAUUUUUCGCUGCGAAUAUUGAUCUAAAACUUGUUGUUUAAUAUAUUCUCUCAGAUUUUUCCCUGUUGAAGACUAACGAUAAUUUGUUCUAUAUUAUCUUAGUCAUAAUAUUCUUUACUGGGCUAGUUGAGAUCACCCUUUUCCUUUUUGUUCCAUUUUUCUUCUCAGGAGGCGAGAAUGUAGCGAGUACGAGUCGGGGUAUGGAAUGAUAGUUCUAGAGAGAGUUGUUUAGUAGUCCUCACCAUUUUUGUAAAAUAAUGUAUCAAUAAUUAUGAUGAGGAAUUAUUUGCGUGUGGAUAUUGUCUAGAUGGCAAUAUCUGUAUUUAAACUCACAGUUUAUAUGUUGUAAUAAUAAAGUUGUAGUUGUUUCUGUACCAUGUAUUUGAUAACUCAGAAUGGGUGAUGUAUACCUAUUUUGGGGGCGUCACAUAUUUAAUUUUUAAUUAUAUAAAUCAUACAGUUAUUAGUAUCAUUUAUAUAAAAAAAACAAUAAAAUUUAUAAUUUUGGUAAUUAUAUUUUUAAUAUUAAUUAAUUUAUGCUAAUUUUGAAUUUAGAGAUAUUUUAUAUUACAUUCAAAAUGUCAAUAUAAAAAUAAAUAAAUAUAAAGAAGAAGAGUAUACUUUUUACAUAAAUUUUAAAAAAAAAAUAAAAAAAAAAUGAGGAGAGAGGAGAGAAUUGUGCUAAAAAAAAUUUAGGCAACACUGGAGGAAAAUAAGGGGUUGGGGGGCGGUCCGGUGCUCUUAACGACCGGUACCGUCCGGUGCACCUUUUUUUUUAUACCACAAUUAUGAGAAUAAUAAAUAAAAAAUAAUAGAGCAAGUUUAAACAAAAAACUGUAAAAGAAAGUAUAUUUUUUAUUGAAAAAAUACUGUAAACUAUUAUCGUAUUUUUUUAAUAAAAAAUAUACUUUCUUUUAUAAUUUUUUGUUCAAACUCGUUCUAUUAUUUUUUAUUUAUUAUUCUCAUAAUUGUGGUUAAAAAAAAAAAAGUGCACCGGAUGUUACCCGUCAAUAAGUACACCGGACGUUACCCGUCAAUAAGUACACCGGACGCCCCCAAUCUAUCUAAUAAAAUACAAAUGAUUUUGAAUUUCUCGCUCACUCAAUAAAUCAUCUGAGCCAUCCAAAGUUUGGGAUAAAUCCCACCGUCCAUACAUCUAUCUAAUAAAAUACAUCUAUCUAUCUAUCUAUCUAUCUAUCUAAUAAUCUAAUAAAAUACAAAUAAUUUUAAAUUUUUUGCUCACUCAAUAAAUCAUCUGGGCCGUUUAAAAUUUGAAAUAAAUUUUAUUGUCCAUACAGUGCCGGAGGCACGGAACCCAGCUAAUUUAAAAUAAGAGGGUAAGAUUUAUAAUUUAGUCUAUCAUUCAAACACAUACCAUCAGUAGUUUAGGAUAUUUCCAAGCAAGAGAGAAAAUUAGAAAUAGAAAAGAGGACAGACGAAGGGCUGCCGCUCAAUUUCGCUGGGAAAAAUCAUAGAAAACAAAUUUAAUGGCGGCGAAAGUAGCGGUAGGAUUCGAACCGGUGGUCAGAACAUUGACCCCGUCGAAGAAGAGGGAGUACAAAGUAACGAACAGGCUCCAAGAGGGUAAAUGUCCUCUCUACGCUGUCGUUUUCAACUUCAUCGACUCUCGCUACUUUAAUGUUUUCGCCACCGUCGGCGGCAAUCGGGUACUCACUAACCCUCUAACUCUUCUUUUACAUAGGUGUUCUUAUUUGCUUCCCUUUGAAUGCCCGGCAAUUUAUUUAUUUAUUUGCUUCCCUUUGCUUCCCGUCGGUCGGACCAUUGUUUAGAUAUGGUGGAGCUAGGACAACAGAAUAGUUUAUAAGUAGAAACAUAUUUGUAAAUAUAAUAUUACUUUAAACGGACCGGACCAUUGAGCAAAGUUCAAUCUGUUUAAGCCUGACAAAAGAGCAAAGUAUUCCACUGAUUAAUCAGUUAGUAGGAAAAUUAAAAAAGGAAAAAGAAAAAAAGGGAGGGGGAAUAGUUUUUGUUUUUAGCUCAGACAUAAUAUUGUGGGAAUGAGAUCGAUGGCAAUGAAGUGCUAAGUAGCCCCAAUAUCUUGGCCUAAACCAAAAUUAGUCAAUUUCAUACAUAUUUUCAACGACAAAAAUAAAUAAAUAAAUAAAUUCAGGAGGCUUGUUUUUUAACAUUAGUAAAGAAUGUAAGUAAUUGUAGCAUAAUCUGUAUAAUAAAAUAGAAUUUAUUCUGAAUUUUUUAUUUGACAAAGCAUAAUGACAGUUCAGAUUUCAUCUCAAUUCUUUCAACUUAAUCUAAAGGUUCAUAUUUUAUCUCACACUAAAAAUUCCCGUCCAAAUCAAAUUUACCCCUAAAAAUUCCCGCUCAAAUCAAAUAACAAUAAUAAUAACAAUAAUGAUAAUGAUAAUAAUAAUAAUAAUAAUAAUAGUAAUAAUAGUAAUAAUAAAAAUAAUAAUAAUUAUAAUUAUAAUAGUAAUAAUAAUAGUAAUAUUAAUUACUACUAUUAUAAUAAUAAUUUUUUUUUUAUUAUUAUUAUAAUAGUAAUAGUAAUAAUACUAAUAAUUAUAAUAAUAGUAAUAAUUAUAAUAAUAAUAAUAAUAAUAACAACAACAAUAAUAAUUAUUAUAAUAAUACUAAUAAUAAUAAUUAUUAUUAUAAUAAUAGUACUACUACUACUACUAAUAAUAAUAAUUAUUAUAAUAGUACUAAAAUAAUAAUAUUUAUUAUUAUUAUAAUAAUACUAAUAGUAAUAGUAAUAAUAAUAAUAAUACUAGUACUAAUUCUAUUUUGUGGCAGGACAAGGCUUCACUUUUGUUCGUGUCCCUCUUUACUAUAUUUUUCCCUCCAAGACUUCGAACACUUCAGACUUCAGUCUAUAUUUUUCCCUCCGGACUUCAAAGACUUCAGUCUUUUCCGUGUCCCUCUCUACUAUAUUUUUCCCUCCAGACUUCAAACACUUCUUGGUCUUUCUAUUUUCAACCAUCACCUGUUAUCCUCCUCUGAUUCCUCUCUCUACUUUUUAAAAGCAUAGACGGUCGGAACCGCCUUUCUUUUUUCUUAUCAGAUCUAUUUGGUGGCGGAUCUAAGCCGGGAUGUAUGAGAUUUUUGGUAGGGUAGGUGGAGGCUACACGAUUUGGGUCUGAUUUGGUUCCACUCUUCCAUCUGCCUAACCUGCUUUGUUCGAAGGUACAUAUUUCUUAUUCCCUCAACUUCUCUGCACUUUCUCUCUCAUACCCACUGAUGUCUCCUUUUUACAGAGCAUGAAAGUACAAAUUUUUUUCGGAACUUUUCUUGAAUAUGUACCCCUUUCUGUAAUUUUAUUUUCUUGAAGCCUCUGUAAUUUUUUCUGCAGAGCUUAUCACAAGGCCAAAAAAUAAACCCACCCAUUUGGACUUAUAUUUAACAGAAAUUUUAUUUUGUUUGUUUUAAAAAAAAUGAAUUGUUUGGUGAAAAUGGAGAUCUCUAUGAAGUGGGUAUUUUUGUUUUGUGUUGUUUUUUGUAAUUUUGGUCAGCAAAUUUUUAUUUUGUUUGUUUACAAAAAAUUGGGUUGUUUGGUGAAAAUGGAGAUCUCUAUGUAGUGGGUAUUUUUGUUGUGUUGGUUUUGUGAUUUUGGUCAGCAAAAUGCAUGGGGGUUUGUAUAUAGUGGAUUCGGGGUGUGGAGUAAAGUAGAACAGCUAAAGGUUCUGUUUUUCCGGCUUCAAUCUUUUUAACUUUCUUAAACCUGGAAUAUCAGAGAAACAAGAUGACCCAAUAAAAUGUUGUUUGUAACAGACCCAAUAUUCCAAGUUUAAGAAAAGCUUAAAUCUUUUUAACUUUCUUAAACUUGUAAUAUUGGGUCUGUAAACAAGAAAGCUUAAAUUUUUUUAACUUUCUUAAAUUUGGAAUAUUGGUUCUUUUAGAAACACCAUUUUAUUAGGUUUUUGACUUUCUUGUUUACUCAAAAGUUUUUGUUUGGGAUUGAAACUCAAUUUCGGCGUCCGACUUUUCCUGGAACUUAGAUUAUUCAUGAAUUAUGUGGUUUUCUUGAAUAUCAUAUUCAUGUAAUUUAUGUGCCCUUUCUUUAUUUAGUUAGUGGCAGCAAAAACAUAUGAUUGAGUUUAGUUUAUGCAAAAAAAAGUAAAUUUUGGGGUUGAAUGAUUUGACGGUUAUUGUUUUGUUUUCUUUUGUUUUGAAGAUGUUUUUGAUUGAAACUCAAUUUAAGGGUGUUGGACUAUACCUGUAACUUAGAUGGUUCAUGAAUUACGUGUCUUUAGUUAAUUAUCCUGUAAUUUAUGUGCCAUUUACUUAUUUAGUUAGUUGCAGUAGAAACUUAGGAUUGGGUUUAGUUUCUUUAUUGUAUACUCUCAUUAUGUUACCUUUAUUUAUUUAGUUGAAGUAAAAACUUGGGUUUGUUUAUGUGCCUUGCUUUCUAGUAUUUUGCAUUUUGGUUAACUUUCAUCCCAUCCCAAUACCAAAAAUAAUCUCCUCUCAUUCUCUCACACACUAAAACACACAGUAAGAAUUUUCUUUGUCAGCCAUACCAAAGCUUAUUAGCAAUCACUGACGGUGCCAGUGAAAAAAAAAAGACAUGUUUUUUGCCAUGGUACUUCUGAAGCUAGCAGAAUGGCUGGUGUACCGGCUUUUGGCCCACUCAUGUUACAGAGCUGCAAUGAAGGUGAACAAUUAUGGGUUUUUCUUAAGAAAACCAUCUCUUAGAUCACAGCAUCAACCGCCUCAGAAUUUGUACCCCAGUGUAACCAAAUGUGGGCUACAGAACAGGGGAUCCCAAACUCUAGUCUCUGACAUUGAUUGUACAUUGCUAAGGUCACAGUCCUUCCACUACUUAAUGCUGGUGGCUUUUGAAGGCGGUAGCAUACUCAGAGCGUUCGUGCUGUUGUUGUCAUCCCCAUUCCUCUGUUUUUUGGACUACAAGUUAAAGUUAAGGGUCAUGAUUUUCAUUACAUUUUGUGGGCUGAGAUCAAGGGACAUGGUGAGUGUUGGAAGGGCAGUGUUGCCCAAGUUUUAUCUUGAAAAUCUGAAUCUUCAGGUGCAUGAGAUUUGGUCUGCCUCAGGGUGUAGGGUGAUCUGUACAAGUGUCCCUAGAGUCAUGAUUCAAGGGUUCUUGAAUGAGUAUUUGAGUGUUGACAAUGUUUUUGGGACACAGCUCCACAAUUUCGGUCACUAUUUUACUGGUUUGCUAUUUGAUUCUGGCUUUGCUUGUGAAGCACAGAACUCUUAAAGAAUUCUUUGGAGAGAGAAAGCCUGAAAUUGAAAUUUCAAAUCGUCAUGACCACCUCUUUAUGGCCCUCUUCAAGGUAUACAUUUUUAUUUGUUAUGUUUUAUCAGUGUCACUUUCUUUAGAUCAUAACUAUAUAUAUCAGAACUUAAUUGUCAUUAGUAUUUCAUUGUGUUUUUUUUGGCUAAAAAUUCAUUGUGUAAUGAAUUGAUGUUUUAGCCCAAAGAGAUGCUCAGACACAUAGCUGACAAUUACUUUUUUGGUCAUGCAUAUGUAUGUUACCUUGAAAUUGAAGCUGUGCUUGUUUAUACGUUGUUUAGUCUUCAGUUUUACUACUUUACUCGUCUCCCUCAAUCUCUCGCUGCACUGUCUCAUGCCCAUUGAUGUCUCCUUUUUACAGAGCAUGAAUGAUUGUUUUUUUUGUUGUUGCAACUUUUUUUGAAUAUCAACUUCUUUCUGUAAUUUUAUUUUCUUGAAGUCUUAAUUUCUCUGCAGAGCUUAUUUCAAGGCCAAAAAAUAUACCCCACCCAUUUGGAGUUAUAUUUAACAGAAUUAUUAUUAUUAUUUUUUUAAAAAUUGGAUUGUUUAUUGGGCUAGGAAUAAAGUAGAACAACUAAGGGUUUUGUUAUUUGGGCUUAAAUCUGUUUAACUUUCUUAAACUAGAAAUAUCAAAACAACAAGCAGACUCAAUAAAAUAGUGUUUGUAACAGAUUUGGUGGGUUUUCAAAAGCUAAGUAGAGCCCAUUUUGAAGCUAGGUACUGGCUCAUUGUUUAUUGUUCUAUUUCAGCCUUAAGAAUGCAGAUAUGCAGUGCAUGUGUGUGAGAAAAAGUAAAUUUAGGGGUUGAAUGAUUUGACGGUUUUUGUUUUGUUUACUUUUAUUUUGAAGAUAUUUAUGAUUGAAACUCAAUUUCAGGUUGUUGGACUAUGCCUAUAAAUUAGAUUGUUCACGAAUUAUGUGUCUUUAAUUAAUUAUCCUAUACAUGUAAUUUAUGUGCCAUUUACUUAUUUAGUUGGUGGCAGCAAAAACAUAGGAUUGAGUUUAAUUUCUUUAUUGUAUACUCUCAUUAUGUUACCUUUAUUUAUUUAGUGGAAGUAAAAACUUGGACUUAUUUAUGUG
rnacentral:lncRNA from 1 species